AUUGAACGCUGGCGGCAGGCCUAACACAUGCAAGUCGAACGAGUGGCGGACGGGUGAGUAAUGUCUGGGAAACUGCCCGAUGGAGGGGGAUAACUACUGGAAACGGUAGCUAAUACCGCAUACCAUCGGAUGUGCCCAGAUGGGAUUAGCUAGUAGGUGGGGUAACGGCUAACCUAGGCGACGAUCCCUAGCUGGUCUGAGAGGAUGACGGGCAAAACUGGAACGGGACAACGGUCAAGACUCCUACGGGAGGCAGAAGUGGGGAAUAUUGGACAAUGGGCGCAAGCCUAAUGCAGCCAUGCCGCGUGUAUGAAGAAGGCCUUCGGGUUGUAAAGUACUUUCAGCGAGGAGGCGUUACUCGAAGAAGAAGCACCGGCUAACUCCGUGCCAGCAGCCGCGGUAAUAC
rnacentral:rRNA from 1 species